rnacentral:tRNA from 1 species
UGGGCAGGUCGCAUAGUCCGGUCUAGUGCGCGGCACUGGAAAUGCCGUACAGCAGCAAUGCUGUCGAGGGUUCGAAUCCCUCCCUGCCCGCC